rnacentral:rRNA from 1 species
UACGUAGGGGGCAAGCGUUGUCCGGAAUCAUUGGGCGUAAAGCGCGUGUAGGCGGCUUCGUAAGUCCGUUGUGAAAGUCCAGGGCUCAACCCUGGAAUGCCGAUGGAUACUGCGGAGCUAGAGUCCGGAAGAGGCGAGUGGAAUUCCUGGUGUAGCGGUGAAAUGCGCAGAUAUCAGGAAGAACACCAAUGGCGAAAGCAGCUUUCUGGGACGGUACUGACGCUGAGACGCGAAAGCGUGGGGAGCGAACAGG